AGUGCGUCACAGACACACUGUACCUCGAGGCAAAGAAGAAUGGAACGCUGCUCGGGUGAAAACAGCAGAGAGAGAAAGGGAAAUGUUGGAGCAUGUGGUGGAAGAAGUGAACAAAUAACAGGGUUGGAGAGAAUACAAGACCGCGAGUGGUCGGGGGACUUCUGAGCAGGCACAGAGCGGUCAACACAGCCACCUGCAGCUCGCAAAUAUACAGGACCCUGGUGUUCCUUCCACUUUUACUGGACUGCUUGUUUUCAGUGGAAGAAAACAAAAGUCUCCCCCCUUCCCCACCAAUACCAGAAACCAAGGAAAGGAAAAUGUUGGCUGACUGACAAAAAUGGGCUUUAUAUAGCAAGACUUGAGAGCAUCCAGGUAAGUUUUGAUAUUUUUUUAGUUUUGAAAUGGUGUUCAGUAUUCGAACAGUAUUAAAAGUUGUAUGCUAUGAUGAAUCCAUAGAUAAGUUUGGAAUUAUCAAAGACAAGGUGACAGUUACAUAUUAAGAAAAUAUUUGUUUGAAGGAAAUUAACCAACUCUUAAAUGUUUAUUCUAUUACCGCAUUGCUAAUUUCUAGCAACUUGCCAACACUAUUGCCUUCAUCACAGAGGAGCAGACUGGCCUUGCAUUGGCACUGUGUGUGCAUUUUCAGAACCACUGGUGCAUUGAAAUUACACUUUUUUGUGAGAUUACACAGGACUGUCCUAAGACAAGAGAACUCAACAUUUCACCGCUGGUUGUGCCAGCCAUUAACCAGCACACUCCAAGACUCUAUUGGGCCAUGAGGGCGACUUUUCCAUCUGAGAUGGAUCAACUCCUAAACAGACUGGAUGAAGAGAGGAAUUAUAGAUUAUAGAGAAUAUUCUAAAUAUUUUGUAUACUGUGAACAUGAAUGUAAACCAUGGAUUUAGAAGGUUUGUUUCUCUUCAUAAAGCUCCACAAAUCAUAACAUUUUUUAUAUAAACAAUUGAUCUCAUCUUGAUUGAAGGUAUUGCUUGUAGUGACAGUCAGAAUAAACGAGCUGUACCUAAGGGACAAACAAAAACAGUGACCUAGGUGAACAUCUAUCAGAUAAAAAGAUAUUUAUAUUAGGAGACUGCAGCCUUGACGGUCCUUCCCUUGUAUUCCUGUGACAGUCAAGAGAAGCUGUUCAGGAACUGUCUUGUGAGUGGUUGUUAGUAACAUUAAAUGUAUCUUUUUAUAUUGAAAUUAAGUUUCGAAAGUUUGUAGUUCCUUCAUUGCUACGCACAGAAAAAUAUAAUCAAAUUCAUAGAAUAACUCUUUCUCCACGCAUUUUCGAGUAAUGGCUUAUUCUGAGCCACAGUAAUUGAAUGACAUGUCUUUCACUUUGAUUUACUUUUAAUGUUUCCUUUCUGUCAUCAAGGCAACUGACCCAGAAGAGCAGCAGACUAAAGACCUUAUUGUGGGCAUCCUCACUCUGUUGGAUGAUGAUUCAGCUCCUGCAAGUGGCGCGUACAUUGCUGUUAUCAUAGAAGAAGACAUCAUCAUUCAAGAUCUCCCUGACCUGCCAACAGCAUUUGCCUACCUCUUUGGGCUGAUCUAUGCUUUAAACCUUAAGUAUCCAAAGGAACUGAGGUACACAUUUGAGACAAUUCAGAGGGUUUCCUUGGGAAUUGGAAUUGAUCUUUCUGCAAGAGUCAGAUUUCACAAAACCAAAAUCCAUGCAUGAAUCCAGUGUGUUCAGUUGUCAGCUGUUAGCUGACUGACAGUUUUGAAUUUCACAAGUCCCUCUUGCCCGUUGUAUAAUAAUGUUUUAAUGGUUCAUAUCUUUUUAAUGAGAUGGAUCCCUCUCCACCUCUUCCGAUUUGCUUUUCCCCCUCUCUCUCUCCUCUUUUUCUCAAGUUCCCUCUCUCAACGUCUCUUCUCUCACCCUCGUCUACCCUCUUUAUCUCCUCCAGUUCUCAAGCUCUAUCUCUUCUCUACUCCUUUUCUUUAUCUCAAGUUCCCUUUCCACCUCUCUUCUAGACUCUAGUUCUGUGUGCAGUUUUAUUUCAACCCAUGAGCUACCUCUUUUGGUAACUUUUUGUUUUGUCAUGUUGCAUAUUUCAUACUGAUGUCGAAUACUAAUAUCGAUACUAAUAUUAACUCCAUCUUGGUAUGGUCACAACUUCCAGGGAAGUCUUCUUGGAUCUCCCUAAAUGCUACCUCAUUGUAUUUUGCUGUUCGAGAGGUGAUACAUUGUUACAACCCGAGUAAAGUGUUAAGACUGGGAUAGAUACAGGUUCUAAUUUGCUUGGCCUUGUUAAGAAUUUGAUACUUGGUUUGAUAAAAUACAAAAACUUUGAAUGUG